GUCUAUGGGCAUUAAACACUAGUGAGUGUUCAACUGAGGCCUCGUGAAGUCUUUUUAGUUUUGUUUCUGAGCCCCCUAGAUGGCUGUGUCUAUGAAGAAAAGGAUUGUAAGGAAACUAAUGU